rnacentral:lncRNA from 11 species
CAUGCAUCUCUCUAUGAAAGCAGUUAGAGAAGAACAGGAAUCUCGACUGCAGCAGGCAUGCGGUAGAGCUGGCGUGAUCAGAACACUAACAGGGCCAGGCUGAGUGAUUACAUGUUUCUGUAAGUGUGUUAGCUCCAUGGGGAGCUGAGUCCAUUUGGAGACAAGGAGGAGAAAUACCCCCCCUCCUUUCAUUAAGGUGAAAAGGGUCAACGCAUACCUCAGUUGUCAUUCAAACAUAAUAAAGGUAAAUGUUGCUCUCGGGUGCCUGCUCUCCCAGCUUUUUUGCUCUGUCAUUGCUCAUGUCUGGAUUAUGCAGACGCUUGCGUUCUAAACAGGGAAGCACGUUGCUUUGGGGAAAGAGAAGACAUUUGUUUUGCAAGCGGCUGCAAGUGUUGCCGGUGGAUGCUUUGCCCUUGAAAGAGGGCCAAGAGGAUCUGCCUGAAUCCAAGGGAGGAUUUAUAUGCAAGAGGACAAGACGAUGGCUGCACAGCGAGCCCCCGAGUCGGCUCUGAGCUUGUUGAUGGUAAGUGACUAGAGGAAAUGCUGACCUUGAAAUGACCAAUGUGGUUUGCAGAUAGAGGAUCACAUUCCCUGCUGAUGGAUUGCAUUAGUGGGUGGGUGGGGGUGUUUUUAUCAAUUGUGUGAAAAUGGAUGGUAAGUUUUCUAUGAUUACCAAAGCUUACGCUAAUAACAUGUAUCAAUGUUUCACAUAUGGAUGUCAUAUUCUUAUUAGCUUGACAUUUUUCUAAUUUGUUCACUUGUGUGCACUUCGGAAUACCUUUGCUAGAAAAGACAUUUAAUUAAUGUUCAUAAUGACAGUUACAAUAGCCCAUGGUUUACAACAGCCUGAUGCUUUACAUGAGCACCUGGAUUUUUGCAUUAUUUAGGAAUUAAACAUGAGGGGCCUGUACCUUGUUGGCCUACGUAUGUGUCCCUAUUAACUAUUAAUAGUGUCUUUAAGAAUGGUUGUGUUAACCUCCAGAGAUUGCCUUCUAGACUGCUGAUGCAUAUCUCUUCCCUGGAAUACUAAUGGCCAUAUUGACUGCAUAACUGGGGAUGGUGUGUAUGGUUC